UGCCAACGUCCAGCUUUACUUCCUC
rnacentral:piRNA from 1 species